rnacentral:rRNA from 1 species
AUGGCUUCUGCGGCCGUCUGCUCCCCUAAGCAGCAGCAGCAGCGGCAGGAGGAGGAUGGUGGGGUUGUCAAGAUCGGGCGGGUGGACGACGUGCAGGAGCUGCAGAGGGCGUGCGUGGACGACGUGCCGGAGCGGUACGUCCGGGACGGCGACGACCGGCCGGGCGGCGCUAACGUGUGCGCGCACGCGGAGAUCCCCGUCAUCGACGCCGGCGAGCUCCGGCGCGGCGGCGGCGAUGGGGACGAGCUGGAGAAGCUCAGGCAGGCCUGCGAGGAGUGGGGCUUCUUCCAGGUUGUGAACCAUGGCAUCGACGGCGAGCUGCUGGACGAGAUGGAGAGGUUGUCGAGGGAGUUCUUCAUGCUGCCGCUGGAGGAGAAGGAGCGGUACCCCAUGGCGCCGGGCGGCAUCCAGGGCUACGGCCACGCCUUCGUCUUCUCCGAGGACCAGAAGCUCGACUGGUGCAACAUGCUGGCGCUCGGCGUGUCCCCGGCGUUCAUCCGGCAGCCCAUGCUCUGGCCGACCACGCCGGCCGCCUUCACCGACACCCUCGAGAGGUACUCCGCCGAGGUCAGGGCGCUCUGCCAUCGUCUCCUGGAGCACAUCGCCGAGACGCUGGGCCUGGCGCCCGGCACGUUCGCGGGCAUGUUCGGCGACGCGGUGCAGGCGGUGCGGAUGAACUUCUACCCACCGUGCCCGCGGCCGGACCUGGUGCUGGGGCUGAGCGCGCACUCCGACGGGAGCGCGGUCACCGUGCUCCAGCAGGACGCCGGCCGCGCGGGGCUACAGGUGCUCAGGGACGGCGCCUGGGUGCCCGUCCACCCCGUCCCGCACGCCCUCGUCGUCAACCUCGGCGACUCGCUCGAGGUGCUCACCAACGGCAGGUACAAGAGCGUGGAGCACCGGGCGGUGACCAACGGCGAGCAGGACCGCCUGUCCAUCGUGACGUUCUACGCGCCAGCCUACGACGUCGAGCUCGGCCCACUGCCGGAGCUAGUCGCCGACGGGGAGCCCUGCCGGUACCGGAGGUUCAAGCACGGCGAGUACAGCCGGCACUACGUCACCAGCAAGCUCGAGGGCAAGAAGACGCUGGACUUCGCCAAGAUCAACUAG